rnacentral:lncRNA from 1 species
GCUGAUGAGUGGUAGAGCUAAGUAAGAGUUGAACCCAGGCAAAAUGCCAGGACAUUUCUGCGAUUCAUUGCUCUGCUGCUUCCAGUGAAUGAAUGACCUGGGUUUGUGUUGAGUUUACUGAAGCCUUUCCUGAUGGCCUCCAGUGCAGAGCCUGGCUUCUGAGGCCUGCAGACUUCUGUCAGGUACUUGAGUUAAGCCUGCCCAGGAUCCGGGCUUGCUGGUGACCUUAUUCCUCUGAAGGUUGAGCCUGGGACCUGGGAUGGCAGCUGGAUACAUGGUUACCCAAGAGGUUCCUCUCCCAUGGUCCUGAGUGCAAGGGUUAAUGAGAGGAGUUCCUGGAGCAGCAAGUUAUCAGCCCAGGCUGAGCUGGAGGAGGGCAGCGUUCCCUGGAGGAAGAAGGGCAGUCACAGCCCCCGUCUGGCGUACUGCUUGGCACACAGUGGGAGCUUACUAAACUUGCUUGAAAAACAGCCCAGCCAGAGAUUGUGUUUCAGAGAUGGAAGACAAAUCCAAGCCAGCUUUCAGCCCUGUCAGGUUGGUGGUAUUAUCUUCAUUGCCGUAUUAGUCACCUCGGCGUUGCUUUGAAAUACCUGAGGUAAGCAGUUUGAAGGAAGAAAGGUUAAUUUUGGCGCAUGGU